rnacentral:rRNA from 1 species
GGGGUUUCAGGCCAAAGCUUCGUCCUUGUGGCGUGGCUGGGUUUGGGCUUCCUAGCUUUGGGUAGUGGGCAACCGCUCCCAAUCAUUUACUUUGAAAAAAUUAGAGUGUUCAAAGCAGGCGUAACUUGCCAUUGAAUAUUACAGCAUGGGAUAAUAGAAUAUGACGUUGGUCUUAUUUUGUUGGUUUCUAAGGCUGAUGUA